GAAGGUUGAUCUUGUGUUAGCUGGUUCUUCCAGGCGAGACCUGGUCUGCUCUGUUGUAGCAGUCUUCUGCUUUAGGCUUCAGCCUCUCAGCAAGCCAGAGUGAGUCCUUUUUCCCGCAUGCACUCAUUCAGUCAACAAAUUCGUUAAGCACUAAUCAUUGCUGCAAUAGCUAGCAGUCUGGGAGGACUUUCUACGCCAUUUCUCAGGAGGAGGAGCGGAGUGGAGUGGUUAAGAGCAUGGAGUCUGAAGCCCGAUUGCUCGGGCUUGGAUCCUAACUAGCUGAAUGACCUUGGCCAAGUCACUAAACCUCUGUCGGCUCUGGAUAGUAGCUUCCUGUGAGGACGGAAUGAGGCAUGGCAUCCUCAGAGUCCAGCCCAGCACCCGGGAGGACAAUACAAGCUGGUAGAUGGUCAUUGUUGGAACCCUUGUCGUCAAUGUUCAGGAACUCACAAACAUGGCUGCCCUUCUGGUGGAGUUCUUCUCCUCUGCUGAGCAUUUUCUUACCUUUUCUCCAUCUUGUGUCCUCUUCUGCCCACACAUUCUGGAACUCAAGACGUCGUCCAAUGGAAAAGAAGAGGCUAUUGUUGGGCCUCUGCUGGAGCACCAUGAGGCUGUGAACGGUUACGGCGCGCACUGCUCAUCUGAAUUGGGUUUUCGUAUGCGGAAAGAGAAGAAAGAAUCCUGUCAUCAAAGUUUGUUCGUGCUCUGUAGAAUGGCUCUCUCUUGCUCUUUGAACCCUAAGGAAACUUCUGGAAUUUUCAGUGACUUUCUGAGAUCAAAUGGCCUUUUAAACAUCUUGAGCCUUUCAAAGUGCUCCCCUCAACCUGAAGCAAAGCCUGAUCAACAUCUGUAGAGACAGGCCCUUUGGGAAAAUGUCAGCCAGAAGCUUCAUGGAGGCAGACUUUGGCUUAAAGAAGUCAAGGCUGCU
rnacentral:lncRNA from 1 species